CAGGGUGCUGAAAGAAAAACUGGGAGUCGGGACAAGAUUCCCUUUGGAGUUCAGCCAGGGUUGAGUAGCAGGUCCAGGAGUGCUGAACACGCAGAGGAGAGCUGGUUAGCCAACGUAUAUCUGGGACAGACCUGGGUAUGUGAGGAACUGCACCUUUGUUCUUUUUUCGGCUGUGAGAAGAGCCAGCAGGACUGAGGUGGGGUCUGAAACGCCAAGUGCCCAGAAGAUUUUCUCGUCGAAUUGCAAAAGCCGGUGCUUGGUGGGGACGCUGUGGGACCGCCCGCUGGCUUCCAGGGGUGCAGGGCCAGCUGGGGAAUGUCAGCGCAUACAGUGGAAACUGCAGUGAAGUUUGAAUGCAGGAAAGUCCACAGGCGAUGUCGUCCGGCUUUGCCUUGGGUUUACAGGAUGUUAGAGCUGGGAAGGAUUCUGGAAAUCAGUUAAAUCCAGAAGUUUUCUACCUGUGGUUUUGCAGACGUGACUUAGGUGCUGUGGGACCCUCACCACCCAGUCAACUAGAUCAGGUACGUUUUGAGCCUCUUCUAUAUUCGGGAACAGCAAGUGGUUCUGAGUUUGGGCCCUGAACUCAGCGGGGGAAGGAUGGAGGUGCAGCAGCCCGGACGAGACCCGAAUCUACCCCUCCUGGGCUCUGUGACGCUGGGUGACCUGCUGCUGGACCUACUGGAGCUUCAGUUUUCUUCUCUGUAAAGUGAGCGUCACAACAGGUACUUAUUCUGGUUGUAAGAAGUAAAUGAUGAUAAUGAAAAAUAGUCAAAGCUAACACUUACCGAAUCCUUGCAACUUGCCAGGUGCUUUUCUGAGUUCUUUCCGUGAACCACUCAGUGAGUUCUGUUGUAGACAGGACACCUGUAGUGCAGAGAGGAUGACUUGCCCAGAGUUCCAGCUGCAAUUGGUGGCACCAGGGCCGGAUUCCAAACAGGGCUACCAUCUUGACGACAGUGUUCUCCUGCCUCUCGCCAUGGGUAACAAACUAUGGAGAACUGUAAUGUAUUGAGCCUGGACGGCGUACCAGGCAUUGUGCUAAGAGCUUUCCAUGGAUGCUUGCAACGCACGUCCUCCAGCAGUGUUUGGAGUUGUGGUGUGUUAUUACCCUCAUCUUACAGGCAAGAAAACUGCAGCUUAGUGAGUGACCUUGGCGAAGGUCAGCUAGUUGGUAAGUUGGGAGUUGACCUUGAACCAGCCAUCACGUGGCCUCUCUUGCAGGAGAUCCAGCACAGUGUGUGACACGGAGCGUCACGACCGGCUUCAAGGACCCUCGAGUGUGAGGAUGCCCAGGGUCCUGUGUCGGAGGGCUUUGUAUGGACUUAGCGUAAUGCUCUGCCUUUGCUCUCUUCGAUUUGCUCAUCAUUUAACCUUGAGCUUGUGUGUUGUGAGUUGAGUUUGAUAGGACAGCAGAGUGUGUGCGUGGGCACAUACAGUAAGCAGGUAGCUGUGUGCAUGCAGGGCUGUGGUCCAGCUCCGCCCACAUGCACAGUGGGUGGUGCACAGAGAGAUGACUCCGAAGGCAUGUGCUUUUGCUGUGGGGCAGUUUGGGGUGCACGGGGCCCAAGAAGGUGGCUGGGCCUGGACCUGGCCUGGUGGUGGCCGCAGGGGAUAGAGGGCUCCACACGGGGGCAGUGCCAAGACCCAGGGUGGAAGGCUGGCUUGUCCUUUGUCCCCAGAGCCUGUCCCUGAGGCACCCACCUGAGCACCAGAAUAGAACCUGCUGUUCUGUCUUGCCUCUUGCUUCAGGGAGGGCUUAUUCAUCAUUCCAAGACGUUUCUGGAAUUCUUGCCAGCUAACGCCUAAGGUUUAUCCUAAGAUGAUCUUCUCUUCUAAGAAAAGAUAUUCUCCAUUUUCUUUUUUGCUUCACUUACCUUUCAUCGUUUUUCUUCCAAAUUCUGCAAAGUUACCCUCAAAUUCUCCUAUUUUCCUUUUCUCUUACUGAGUCCGACUAGUGAGUCAAAAGUAUGUUCAAUAAUUUCACAAAUAUUUAUGAUUUGCACUUAGGUUCUCGAUAAAGAUUUAUGACAAGAAUGAGCCCUAAAUAAAGAUUUUCCAGAUUGGAAGGGAUCCAGAUAAUUUAAUCAUUAACCUCCUUUGCUUUUCAAAAAUGGGAAACUUCAUUUUUCAAGAGUCUAAAGUCAUUUUUAUCUCAAGCAGCUGUUAUUAUUAGAAAGUCCUUUCUUAGGUUAAGCCAAAAAUCUGCCUCCUUUCCAGUAUCAAGAAGAAAAGGCUACUUUAAGAAAUGAACUUACGUAAAAGAAAGUGCUCUCAAUUUCCAAACCCUUGGAAGAUUCUAGUCAUCAAUUUCAGAACCAUCACAAACUUCUCCUAUCUCU